rnacentral:rRNA from 1 species
GUCCACGCCUAACGAUGUAACUCGACAUUAGCGAUAUACAGUUAGUGUCCAAGCGAAGCGUUAAGUUACCACCUGGGAAGUACGACCGCAAGGUUGAAACUCAAGGAAUUGGCGGGUCCGGCACAAGCGGUGGAGCAUGUGGUUUAAUUCGAUGAUACGCGAGGAACCUUACCUGGGCUAGAAUGUAGUUUGACCGAUCCUGAAAGGGGUCUUUGUAGCAAUACACAGAUUACAAGGUGCUGCAUGGUUGUCGU